rnacentral:rRNA from 1 species
GACGAACGCUGGCGGCGUGCUUAACACAUGCAAGUCGAACGGAAAGGCCCUGCUUUUGUGGGGUGCUCGAGUGGCGAACGGGUGAGUAACACGUGAGUAACCUGCCCUUGACUUUGGGAUAACUUCAGGAAACUGGGGCUAAUACCGGAUAUGAGCUCCUGCUGCAUGGUGGGGGUUGGAAAGUUUCGGCGGUUGGGGAUGGACUCGCGGCUUAUCAGCUUGUUGGUGGGGUAGUGGCUUACCAAGGCUUUGACGGGUAGCCGGCCUGAGAGGGUGACCGGCCACAUGGGGACUAAGAGACGGACCAGAAGCGUACGGGAGGCAGUAGGGGGGAAUAUGGCACAAUGGGCGGAAGCCUGAUGCAGAAACGCCGCGUGCGGGAUGACGGCCUUCGGGUUGUAAACAGAUGUGGCAUGUGACGAAGAGUGAGUGACGGUAAUGGGUAAAGAAGCAACGGCUAACUACGUG